rnacentral:rRNA from 1 species
UAGGGAAUCUUCCGCAAUGGGCGCAAGCCUGACGGAGCAACGCCGCGUGAGUGAUGACGGCCUUCGGGUUGUAAAACUCUGUCUUCUGUGACGAACAAGCCUGUGACGAAAAUACUCAGGCCCUGACGGUAACAGAGGAGGAAGCCCCGGCUAACUACGUG